GGGGAUAUGGCUCAGUGGUAGAGUGUGUGCUUGGCAUGCAAGAGGUCCUGGGUUCAAUCCCCAGUACCUCCA